GUUGUACGCCAGGAACGUAUUUGUGGUCCUUUUUCUCCUAUCUGUAGUACUUGCAGGUAUUGAUGCUGCAUCUAUGCGGGAUAAAUGCAAGUCAGAUGACGUUUGCAAAGAGUUCCAGUAUAUCUGCGACAUAAAUGGCAAGCUGCGUAAACAGUUGCUUAAGAUGAAAUGUGUGUAUGGAAAGUGCCACUGUAAGAAAGUAAAGUAAACAUAAUCCAAUAUGAG
rnacentral:misc_RNA from 1 species